AGAGUUUGAUCAUGGCUCAGAAUCAACGCUGGCGGCGCGCUUAACACAUGCAAGUCGCACGAGAAAGUGGAGCAAUCCAUGAGUAAAGUGGCGUACGGGUGAGUAACACGUGGAUCAUCUACCUUUUAGUGGGGAAUACCCCUGGGAAACCGGGGACAAUACCGCAUAAGCUCGAAAGAGGAAAGCAGCAAUGCGCUGAAAGAGGAGUCCGCGGCUGAUUAGCUAGUUGGCGGGGUAAUGGCCCACCAAGGCGAAGAUCGGUAGCCGGCCUGAGAGGGCACACGGCCACACUGGCACUGAAACACGGGCCAGACUCCUACGGGAGGCAGCAGUGGGGAAUCUUGCACAAUGGAGGAAACUCUGAUGCAGCGACGCCGCGUGAGCGAUGAAGCCCUUCGGGGUGUAAAGCUCUUUCGACGGGAACGAUAAUGACGGUACCCGAAGAAGAAGCUGCGGCUAACUACGUGCCAGCAGCCGCGGUAAUACGUAGGCAGCAAGCGUUGUUCGGAAUUACUGGGCGUAAAGAGUGUGUAGGCGGUGCUCUAAGUCUGUUGUGAAAUCUCCCGGCUCAACUGGGAGGGUGCGGCGGAAACUGGAGUGCUCGAGUGUGGGAGAGGUAAGCGGAAUUCCUGGUGUGGCGGUGAAAUGCGUAGAUAUCAGGAGGAACACCUGUGGUGUAGACAGCUUACUGGACCACGACUGACGCUGAGACACGAAAGCGUGGGUAGCAAACAGGAUUAGAUACCCUGGUAGUCCACGCCCUAAACGAUGCAUACUUGGUGUGAGUCAUUCAUUUGAUUCGUGCCGGAGCUAACGCGUUAAGUAUGCCGCCUGGGGAGUACGGUCGCA
rnacentral:rRNA from 1 species